rnacentral:rRNA from 1 species
AUUGAACGCUGGCGGCAGGCCUAACACAUGCAAGUCGAACGAGUGGCGGACGGGUGAGUAAUGUCUGGGAAACUGCCUGAUGGAGGGGGAUAACUACUGGAAACGGUAGCUAAUACCGCAUACCAUCGGAUGUGCCCAGAUGGGAUUAGCUAGUAGGUGGGGUAAAGGCUCACCUAGGCGACGAUCCCUAGCUGGUGUGAGAGGAUGACCGGACACCAUGGAACUGAGACACGGUCCAGACUCCUGCGAGAGGCAGCAGUGAGGAAUAUUGAACAAUGGGCGCAAGCCUGCUGCAGCCAUGCCGCGUGUAAGAAGAAGGCCUUCGGGUUGUAAAGUACUUUCAGCGGGGAGUCGUUGACCGCAGAAGAAGCACCGGCUAACUCCGUGCCAGCCGCCGCGGUAAUUC